AAACUGAAUUGGGUGAGAACUACUUGGGGGACUCAGGAGUAAAAGUGUUGUCUAGAGCCCUCAUGGAUCCCGAUUGUAAAAUACAGAAAUUGAGUCUGAACAACAACCAACUUACCGACUCCAGUGCACGAGAUAUUGCCUCCACUCUGAAUGCAAACAUUUCGCUGACGCAACUGGAUCUCGGUGAGAAUACGCUGGGAGAUUCGGGAGUAAAAAUGUUGUCUGUGGCUCUCAGAGAUUCGGACUGUAACAUCCAGGAGUUGGGUCUAAGUAGUAAUCACCUCACAGCAUCUUGCGCUCAUGACCUGGCGUCUGCUCUAGUUCAUUGACCGAACUGUCAGUGGGUGAUAAUAAACUGGGAGAUGCAGGGGUGCGAGUGCUGUCUGAAGCACUGAAGGACACAGAAUGUAACAUCCAGGAACUGCGAUUGAAUAAUAAUGGUCUCACGCAGUCCUGUACCGAGGAUCUCGCAGCUGCCAUCACCACAAACGACUCUCUGACGGGGUUGUACCUGAAUGAUAAUAAAUUGGGAGAUUCUGGAAUUAAAGCGUUGAAUGCAGCCCUGGUGAAUCCAGAAUGCAAAAUAGAGAAGCUAGGACUUGGCCGCAUUGGGCUCACUGAUUCGAUCCGAGAGGACUUCAUCAGCACUCUCAGUGCAGCUCGCGUAAUGAAGGAUGUCAGCCUGGAAACAAACUUGUCCUCAGACCAAUCUGGGCCAUCUUGCUGAACGAGCAAUGAACAGAAGUCUGGAAUGGAUGCAAUGGGUGUUUCUUCUGAUCUUUAGCUGAACGUAUAGAAGUGCGUUUUGUAUCUCAUUCAUACGCACCAUGACCAUAUUGCAGCGGAUCUCCAAUUUAACACUUUGAUGAAU